GUGAACAGUGCAGCAAUAAACACAGCAUAAAGUAUGGGUUUUUAUAAACUCUUCCCUCAUACUAUCAGAUUUAUUAUUCCCAUAUGAUCUGGGAAGUAAUUUGCCAAAAGCCACAUAGUGAUGAGGGACAGAAAGGACACGGACUAAGCCUGGGCCUGAGCAUCAUGCUCUAUGCUGAGGGUUCAUGGGAGCCCCCUCCGUCUCUACUGGGCCAAAUCACAGCCACCCUCAUCCCAGCUGCUAACGAGCCAGGUGCCCUCUGUUUCACCCUGUCCCCCUAAUCUCAGAGCAGCAAGGACUUGUGCAGCACCCCUAUGUCACAUAAGUCAUAUGGGCUGGGGGCUGGAGGUCACCUGGGAGAUCCAGCACAGCCCCGCAGAGGAGGAGCUCCCUGCUGGACGUUCACCAGGGGGGCUGGGGACCACCUUCUCCCUCUUUGCCAAUCAGGUGUUCCCCUCCUCCUUCACACUGGGUGGAGGGGACUUUUACCCUAGUUGUUCCUCUGGGGACGGCUGCGGUGGCCAGCUUGUUGCUAGUUCUGACCUAACCGUCUGGAGGCCUGGGCAGUCUGGCCAGGGAGCCAAGCACUCAGGGGGUCGGGAAGGCACCCUCCUCCGCGGCCUGCAGAUGAGCAAACGACCGACUGGACAGAAGGUCUCCCUUCCUCAAAAGCAUGGAAUUGGGGAGAAGAGUCUGUGCAGAGCGCGGGCGAGG
rnacentral:lncRNA from 1 species